UACGUAGGGGGGCUAGCGUUGUCCGGAAUCAUUGGGCGUAAAGAGCGCGUAGGCGGCCAGAUAAGUCCGGUGUGAAAGUCACAGGCUCAACCUGUGAAUGCCGCUGGAAACUGUCUGGCUAGAGUCCGGGAGGGGCGAGUGGAAUUCCUGGUGUAGCGGUGAAAUGCGCAGAUAUCAGGAGGAACACCGGUGGCGAAGGCGGCUUGCUGGGCCAGUUCUGACGCUGAGGAGCGAAAGCGUGGGGAGCGAACAGG
rnacentral:rRNA from 1 species